AUCAGCCCCCUGCUACCAAAAUAAUAAUAAUAAUAAUAAUAAUAAUUCACUUUUCUACAACACCUGCCUGGAGGACUCUGAAUAAUACAAAAGGAGCAAGUUUGUGGGUAUGAGCCUCUCAAGAAUGAGCCAUUUUCAGUCUUUUCUGCUGAUGCUUCUUCAUCUUUUACAUUAUCAUUGAUUCAGCAAAGAAAUGAAUGAGUGUACCCAAGUGGUUAUGGCAUUCUUCUGAAAGGAAAGGAGAACUAAUCAUAACUGGUAGAAGAAAGCAAAGGAUGUUUUCCUGGAAAAGUGACCAUCAAGACCUGAAAACAAGAUUAAUAAAUUAAUAACAGUAACUGGAGAUGGGAUGAAGAAAAAAUAUAGUCUCACACUUGUACAUUUUGUAAAUCACCAUGUAACUCAAGACAUCAAUCUUGAAAAUGCAGGCUAUUGUCAUUGCUGAAAAGACUAGAAAACUUGAGUGAGAAUUAAGAGCUAGAAAGCUUACACAUUUGUACAGAUCUAUUACAGUAGUACAACAAUUUUACCUGACUUUUCUGUAUGUAGAUACAAAGAAAAACAAAGAACAGUUUUCUGAUUUAUUGAGAUUUGUUAAACUUAAAACAAUUGAAGAACUGUUGGCAAAAACAUGAGUUUUUAAAAAGAGAACACAUUGCCAUCACAAGGCAUGAGGAGGCGAUAGGUUAACGUCCUUCUAAAUGUACAUUGCCAUAUGCUUGAGUGGAGUUUUGUAGAGCUUUGUCUUCUUAGUUUUAUGUUCAAAUAAUUCAGUUGAUUGAAGUUAUGCCUGCUUACAUUAUGCAUCUGACUGACUCGUAGCUGGUGCCUGUAUCAGCUGACUGCUGAACGAGGAAAUCAUGGCCUAAUUUCAAGUAAAAGAACAUUCUCAAUUCUAAGCUCUUAAAAAUUAUAUUAAGCCUUCUAACACAUUUGAAGUUCAGUGGUCAUUGUAUUACCAUGUGGCUUUUCCACUGCAAAGCAUUGUAGAGAUAUGAUGUAAGUAAGCAGUUUUGUGUCAAGAAUUUCUUAGAGGGAAUUUCUGAAUUAAAAAUUUAGGAAUAAGUUUAAAUUUUUACCACUUCUAACAAGGUUGAAGACACCAUCACUGGCUGAAAUCACUAAUUUGAAUGCCACUGUGUGGUUUCAGCCACCAAGAACUUUCCUUUUGUAACCAGUUCUUCACUGGUAUUUCAGUGAUUGUAGAACAGCACACAGCAGAUUUCAUCAUCCCCUUUUCAUUGAAUUCAGUACUGAAAGGACAGCUGAAUCUACAGUAUGAAAUUAGACGCCAUUUUUCCCAGGCAAAGGGAAAUAUUUUGUAUAGCUGAAAGGUUAGUGUCUCAUAUUUCAUUGUUUAAGAUUUUUUUUAAUUUCUGUGUAAUGCAGAGAAACAAUGCUUUGUAUGUAAAGGUCUGUCUCUCCCUCUCUAUACACUUAUUCCUUUGAAUCGGUGUGACACCGUUUCAUUUCUGCUUCUGGCUUCAAGUUUUAUUGCUUUGAUUUAGCUGAAAGCUGUUCAUAUUGCACUAGAGUGAAACCUAACAAGCAUGUCUUUUCAUAUUGUGUUGCCUCAUUUUUUGUUUGUCUCAUAUUAUUUAAACUAGUGUACCACUGUGUACCUCAGUUCAUCAAAACUAUUAUUAUCUAUAUCUUAUUGCUAAAAGCAUUUUUUUUUCUGAGAAUAAUAAAUAAAUAAAUAAAUAAAUUA